rnacentral:misc_RNA from 1 species
GAUGAAGAACGUAGCAAAAUGCGAUAAGUAAUGUGAAUUGCAGAAUUCAGUGAAUCAUCGAAUCUUUGAACGCACAUUGCGCCCGCCAGUAUUCUGGCGGGCAUGCCUGUUCGAGCGUCAUUUCAACCCUCAAGCACAGCUUGGUGUUGGGACUCGCGUUAAUUCGCGUUCCCCAAAUUGAUUGGCGGUCACGUCGAGCUUCCGUAGCGUAGUAGUAAAACCCUCGUUACUGGUAAUCGUCGCGGCCACGCCGUUAAACCCCAACUUCUGAAUGUUGACCUCGGAUCAGGUAGGAAUACCCGCUGAACUUAAGCAUAUCAAUAAGCGGAGGA